rnacentral:rRNA from 1 species
UGGGGAAUCUUGCACAAUGGGGGAAACCCUGAUGCAGCGACGCCGCGUGAGCGAUGAAGGUUUUCGAAUCGUAAAGCUCUGUCCUAUGGGAAGAUAAUGACGGUACCAUGGGAGGAAGCCCCGGCUAACUACGUGCCAGCAGCCGCGGUAAUACGUAGGGGGCGAGCGUUGUCCGGAAUUACUGGGCGUAAAGGGUUCGCAGGCGGCAUGGCAAGUCCGAUGUAAACGGCGAAGGCUCAACCUUCGUAAGCAUCGGAAACUGUCAAGCUUGAGGUAAGGAGAGGCAAGUGGAAUUCCUAGUGUAGCGGUGGAAUGCGUAGAUAUUAGGAGGAAUACCGGUGGCGAAGGCGACUUGCUGGACUUCAACUGACGCUGAGGAACGAAAGCGUGGGUAGCAAACAGG